rnacentral:misc_RNA from 1 species
GACCUACUUCGCGGCACCUGAUGAGUGGCAAGCGCCCGAGCGGGCGGGGGUCGAGCAUGUGGCCGGGCGCGUACUGGACGUGGGGUGCGGCGCGGGCAGGCACGCCGUCGCGCUUGCCGAGGCCGGGCAUGACGUCGUCGGCAUCGACCCUUCGGACGGCGCGAUCGAGAUCGCUCGCGAGCGCGGAGUGCACGCCGUGCAGGCGACGCUCACCGACCUGCCCGCUGAGCUCGGCACGUUCGACACGCUACUGCUGUACGGGGCCAACGUCGCGCUGCUGGGACCUGCUAGAUCGAGCGCCGCAGGGCUCCACCGGCUGGCUGAGGCAGCACGCCCGGGCGCCCGCAUCGUCGGCUCGUGUCUCGAUCCCUAUGAAACAACGUCACCCGACCACCUU